rnacentral:rRNA from 1 species
UACGGAGGGUGCGAGCGUUGUCCGGAAUCACUGGGCGUAAAGGGCGCGUAGGCGGCCCUGGCAGUCGGUGGUGGAAAGCCCGUGGACUCGAACUGCGGGUCGGCCACCGAUACUCCAGGGCUCGAGUUUGGUAGAGGCGAGAUGGAAUUCCGGGUGUAGGCGGUGGAAUGCGUAGAGAUCCGGAAGAACACCGGUGGCGAAGGCGGUCGCUGG